GAUGAACGCUAGCGACAGGCUUAACACAUGCAAGUCGAGGGGCAGCACAGGUAGCAAUACCGGGUGGCGACCGGCGCACGGGUGAGUAACGCGUAUGCAACUUACCUAUCAGAGGGGGAUAACCCGGCGAAAGUCGGACUAAUACCGCAUGAAGCAGGGGCCCCGCAUGGGGAUAUUUGCUAAAGAUUCAUCGCUGAUAGAUAGGCAUGCGUUCCAUUAGGCAGUUGGCGGGGUAACGGCCCACCAAACCGACGAUGGAUAGGGGUUCUGAGAGGAAGGUCCCCCACAUUGGUACUGAGACACGGACCAAACUCCUACGGGAGGCAGCAGUGAGGAAUAUUGGUCAAUGGCCGAGAGGCUGAACCAGCCAAGUCGCGUGAGGGAUGAAGGUUCUAUGGAUCGUAAACCUCUUUUAUAAGGGAAUAAAGUGCGGGACGUGUCCCGUUUUGUAUGUACCUUAUGAAUAAGGAUCGGCUAACUCCGUGCCAGCAGCCGCGGUAAUACGGAGGAUCCGAGCGUUAUCCGGAUUUAUUGGGUUUAAAGGGUGCGUAGGCGGCCUUUUAAGUCAGCGGUGAAAGUCUGUGGCUCAACCAUAGAAUUGCCGUUGAAACUGGGGGGCUUGAGUAUGUUUGAGGCAGGCGGAAUGCGUGGUGUAGCGGUGAAAUGCAUAGAUAUCACGCAGAACCCCGAUUGCGAAGGCAGCCUGCCAAGCCAUGACUGACGCUGAUGCACGAAAGCGUGGGGAUCAAACAGGAUUAGAUACCCUGGUAGUCCACGCAGUAAACGAUGAUCACUAGCUGUUUGCGAUACACUGUAAGCGGCACAGCGAAAGCGUUAAGUGAUCCACCUGGGGAGUACGCCGGCAACGGUGAAACUCAAAGGAAAUGACGGGGGCCCGCACAAGCGGAGGAACAUGUGGUUUAAUUCGAUGAUACGCGAGGAACCUUACCCGGGUUUGAACGCAUUCGGACCGAGGUGGAAACACCUUUUCUAGCAAUAGCCGUUUGCGAGGUGCUGCAUGGUUGUCGUCAGCUCGUGCCGUGAGGUGUCGGCUUAAGUGCCAUAACGAGCGCAACCCCAGCCACUAGUUACUAACAGGUAAAGAUGAGGACUCUGGUGGGACUGCCAGCGUAAGCUGCGAGGAAGGCGGGGAUGACGUCAAAUCAGCACGGCCCUUACAUCCGGGGCGACACACGUGUUACAAUGGCGUGGACAAAGGGAGGCCACCUGGUGACAGGGAGCGAAUCCCCAAACCACGUCUCAGUUCGGAUCGGAGUCUGCAACCCGACUCCGUGAAGCUGGAUUCGCUAGUAAUCGCGCAUCAGCCAUGGCGCGGUGAAUAAAAUCCCCCUCCUUGCACA
rnacentral:rRNA from 1 species